GCCAGACUGCCUGAAUGGUCAGACAGGGAAAAUUCCUCCCCAGAUUGUUUGAUGUAGACCUCUGCUUAAUUUUAUUCUUGGGGCGAUUCUCAUCACAUGUCCAAGCUCUCCAGGUUUUAGCAAACCAGCUGGCAGCUGCUGCAUGUGUGGUGCUGACUGAUAACGAGGUCCCUGCAUGACCCCAAGCCAGAUGAAAGCAACAAUAAACAGGUGGAGUAGGUGGUCACCAGAGAGAGAGAAAUAUGGAACUUGUUUUGGUACUUCUGCUGGAAUUCUGCAGUGAAAUUCUUCUGGGACACCUCACAGAAAGGCUCUGCUUUUUCAGCCCCCAGAAGUUGUGUGCACAUGCACAUGUACAUACCUAAGCUGGAACAGUAAAGUGCAAGAAGGGAAUUUGACUGACAUUCCCCUUGGGAAAGACAUGCAACUUGCAGCACAAGGGGUUAAAAAUAAAAUUCUCAAAGGUCCUAGCAGAAAUGUCCAACAGUGUGGACUGGACUGAGGCUCUAUGUUGGUGCCAAACGAACUGGUUUGAGAGCUCUGACUAGUAACAGAGGCUUCAAAAACUCCCUUCAAGAUACUGAGCUAGUUGACAUGGGCAUAUAUUGUUUCAAGGCUGCAGGGCAGUUUCUCUGUAUGGUCUCAUGUGGCUUGCUUCAUGUUGACUGUAAUAACUUAGGAGACCGUAACACUGCACUGUGUUAUGUGGACAAAUGUUAAGAUACAUCUUUUGAGACUAAUUUAAUCAAUAAGAAGAAAAAAUAAAUCAGAAACCUCUGUGCAAGAGGAGGUGAGACUUUCAGUUCUCUAGGAAAAUUUGUCACUUUGGUGUUUUCACAGUAUGCCUUUAAAUGUCUAAAUGUUAUUUGAAAUGCACUGAAUUUUAAUCCUAGGACCUUAAGAAACUUUACUUAACACUCAUCAAAAGCUCUUACCCAGAUGAAAAAAGAACCCCAUAAUGUUACACCCUCAGAAAAUGGAAUGGUAAAUGGAAAAAAAAAUGUUAAUAUUCAGAAGUAAUGAUCGUUAGCACUGUGCUGACCAAACCCUUACAUGCGAACCUCUAUAUUUAUGUACAACUCCCUCAUAACACACUCACAGGUUCAGGCCCAUGACUAAGUAGCCUCUGAAAAAUAUCAGUACUAAGCAUGUAAACAUAAUGUGGACAUUCUGUC